GAAAUGCGAUAAGUAAUGUGAAUUGCAGAAUUCCGUGAAUCAUCGAAUCUUUGAACGCACCUUGCACUCCUUGGUAUUCCUUGGAGCAUGCCUGUUUGAGUAUCAUGAAAUCUUCAAAGUAAAUCUUUUGUUAACUCAAUUGGUUUCUACUUUGGUAUUGGAGGUCUUUGCAGCUUCACACCUGCUCCUCUUUGUUCAUUAGCUGGAUCUCAGUGUUAUGCUUGGUUCCACUCGGCGUGAUAAGUUAUCUAUCGCUGAGGACACUGUAAAAGGUGGCCAAGGUAAAUGCAGAUGAACCGCUUCUAAUAGUCCAUUGACUUGGACAAUACUUUUAUGAUCUGAUCUCAAAUCAGGUAGGACUACCCGCUGAACUUAAGC
rnacentral:misc_RNA from 1 species